rnacentral:rRNA from 1 species
UACGUAGGGGGCAAGCGUUGUCCGGAUUUAUUGGGCGUAAAGAGCGUGUAGGCGGCCAGGUAGGUCUGCUGUGAAAACUCGAGGCUUAACCUCGAGAUGUCGGCGGAAACCAUCUGGCUAGAGUCCGGAAGAGGAGAAUGGAAUUCCCGGUGUAGCGGUGAAAUGCGCAGAUAUCGGGAAGAACACCCGUGGCGAAGGCGGUUCUCUGGGCAUCUCCUGACGCUGAGACGCGAAAGCGUGGGGAGCAAACAGG